GACGAAGGAUCCAAGCGUUAUCCGGAUUCAUUGGGUUUAAAGGGAGCGUAGGCGGGUCUAUAAGUCAGUGGUGAAAUCCUAUCGCUUAACGAUGGAACUGCCAUUGAUACUGUAGACCUAGAGUACAGAUGAUGUUGGCGGAAUAUGACAUGUAGCGGUGAAAUGCAUAGAUAUGUCAUAGAACACCGAUUGCGAAGGCAGCUGACAAAACUGUAACUGACGCUGAGGCUCGAAAGUGCGGGGAUCAAACAGG
rnacentral:rRNA from 1 species